CCUACGGGAGGCAGCAGUGGGGGAUAUUGCACAAUGGGGGAAACCCUGAUGCAGCGACGCCGCGUGGGUGAAGAAGCGCCUCGGCGCGUAAAGCUCUGUCAGCAGGGAAGAAAAUGACGGUACCUGAAGAAGAAGCCCCGGCUAACUCCGUGCCAGCAGCCGCGGUAAUACGUAGGGGGCAAGCGUUAUCCGGAUUUACUGGGUGUAAGGGGGGCGCAGACGGCGAUGCAAGCCAGGAGGGAAAGCCCGGGGCCCAACCCCGGGACUGCUCGUGGAACUGCGUGGCUAGAGAGCAGGUGGGGCAGGCGGAAUGCCUGGUGUAGCGGUGAAAUGCGUAGAGAUCAGGAGGAACACCGAUGGCGAAGGCGGCCUGCUGGACUACAACUGACGUUGAGGCCCGAAAGCGUGGGGAGCAAACAGGAUUAGAUACCCUUGUAGUC
rnacentral:rRNA from 1 species